rnacentral:sRNA from 1 species
AUAACAAAUUCUUCACUGGAUGAGCUAGUGCUAUAAUUUGGAGGCAAGAAAACCAUGUCCUAAGAUUCUGAAGAAGCACAUACAUAUCAUGUCUUGAUGCUUCUCAGGGUGGAUUUCCUGAUUGUAAUCUCUUCUAUGACUAUUCCAUUUUAGGAUGAUGACUUGGAAACAGAUGUGAACAAGCUGAGUUCCAAAUCUGGUCUUGACCGACCUGAAGAGGAACUGAUGCAAUAUGAGGCGAUGUGUCUUGAGCUCUCCUAUAGCUUUGAGGAACUGCAGUCCAAACUUGGAGAUGAUUUGAACUCUGAAAAGACUCUGUAUGCCAAUCACCACCACAUUCCGGCCACUGCCUCCUCAAAGCAGCAUUGCUACAACAAGGACCAAAGCUCCUGUGGGCAAGAAAGAGAAGAUGCUGUCCAGACUUCCCUUCUGUGCAUGGUGAAGAUGGGAAGGUCCACUGUGCAUCUAGGCUCCAAAAAAUAUCCUGGAGUGAACCCAUACCAAAAUGUGCAAUCCAAUAGUCUCAGGAGAGAUUCUUCUGAAAGUGAAAUCCCUGACAUUCAGGCUUCUCUGAAAGCAGAUGCCUGGGACAUAGAUGCAAUUUUCUGCCCAAGGAUGAGUGCCUCCUUUUCUAAUUCCACUAGGACUAGAGAAGCUGUCGAAGUAAUAGAUAAGCUUCUGCAGACACAUCUGAAGCGUGUCCCUUUCCACGAUCCCUAUCUUUAUAUGGCCAAAGCUGGAAGAACCAGCUCUGUGGUGGACUUCAAGAUGAUGGCAUUUCCGGAUGUCUGGGGACACUGUCCCCCUCCCACCACCCAGCCUAUGUUGGAACGCAAAUGUGGAGUCCAAAGGAUCAGGAUAUUUGAGGAUAUUCGGAGGCUCAUCCAGCCAAGCGAUGUUAUAAAUAAAGUUGUCUUCAGUUUAGAUGAGCCUUGGCCUUUGCAAGACAAUGCUUCCAAUUGUUUACGGUUCUUCUCCAAAUUUGAGUCAGGAAAUCUUCGCAAAGCCAUCCAAGUGCGUGAGUUCGAGUAUGACUUGCUGGUCAACGCAGAUGUGAACAGCACCCAGCAUCAGCAGUGGUUCUAUUUCAAAGUGAGUGGUAUGCAGGCGGCCAUCCCUUACCACUUCAACAUCAUCAACUGUGAGAAGCCCAACAGCCAGUUUAAUUAUGGGAUGCAGCCCACCCUGUAUUCUGUGAAGGAGGCUGUUCUUGGCAAACCCACUUGGAUACGGACAGGCUAUGAAAUAUGUUAUUACAAAAAUCAUUAUCGCCAGAGUGCAGCUGUUGCAGGCGGAGCGUCUGGGAAGUGCUACUAUACCCUCACCUUUGCUGUCACCUUCCCACACAAUGAGGAUGUCUGCUACCUGGCCUACCACUAUCCCUAUACCUACACAGCCCUCAUGACUCACCUUGACAUCCUGGAAAAGAGUGUCAACCUCAAAGAGGUCUACUUCCGGCAAGAUGUCCUCUGCCAGACGCUGGGAGGGAAUCCGUGUCCCUUGGUGACCAUCACGGCCAUGCCUGAGUCCAACAGUGAUGAGCAUCUAGAGCAGUUCCGUGAGUAAAAUGGGAUCUUCUUCGUGGAAGAUUUGACUAAGGGUGUCCUUUAUAGUCUUGGAAGCAUUCUGUCUCUUCUAGAUCGAAAGCUCCAUAAAGGGAU